rnacentral:tRNA from 1 species
CAAAUUAGAGCUUGACAGGUAAGUAUUUCAUUUACAUUGAAAUGAUAUUGAAUUUUCAAUUAAUUUGA